UUCCGGUUCGAUCCUGCCGGAGGCUACCGCUAUUGGAGUUCGAUUAAGCCAUGCGAGUCGAGAGUCCUCGGGACUCGGCGUACCGCUCAGUAACACGUGGGUAACCUGCCCUAUGCUGGGGAAUAACCUCGGGAAACUGAGAAUAAUGCCCCAUAGCCCACUACGCCUGGAACGGUGAGUGGGUCAAAGCUCCGGCGGCAUAGGAUGGGCCUGCGCCGUAUCAGGUUGUAGGGGGUGUAAAGUACCCUCUAGCCAUCAACGCGUACGGGUGUUGGGAGACAUUGCCCGGAGAUGGAUUCUGAGACACGAAUCCAGACCCUACGGGGUGCAGCAGGCGCGAAAACUUGGCAAUGCGAGAAAUCGUGACCAGGGAACUCCAAGUGCGUAGGGUAAGACCUACGCUUUUCUUGACUCUUCAAAGGUCUUGGAAUAAGGGGUGGGUAAGGACGGUGCCAGCCGCCGCGGUAAUACCGGCGCCUCAAGUGGUAGUCGCUUUUAUUGGGCCUAAAACGUCCGUAGCCGGUCUGGUGCAUUCGUGGGUAAAUCAACCCGCUCAACGGGUUGAAUUCUGCGAGCACGGCCAGACUUGGGACCGGGAGAGGUGUGGGGUACUCUCAGGGUAAG
rnacentral:rRNA from 1 species